AAUCCAUAGGUUAAUGAGGCGAACCGGGGGAACUGAAACAUCUAAGUACCCCGAGGAAAAGAAAUCAACCGAGAUUCCCCCAGUAGCGGCGAGCGAACGGGGAGGAGCCCAGAGCCUGAAUCAGCAUGUGUGUUAGUGGAAGCGUCUGGAAAGGCGCGCGAUACAGGGUGACAGCCCCGUACACAAAAGCGCAUGUGCUGUGAGCUCGAUGAGUAGGGCGGGACACGUGGUAUCCUGUCUGAAUAUGGGGGGACCAUCCUCCAAGGCUAAAUACUCCUGACUGACCGAUAGUGAACCAGUACCGUGAGGGAAAGGCGAAAAGAACCCCGGCGAGGGGAGUGAAAAAGAACCUGAAACCGUGUACGUACAAGCAGUGGGAGCCCCACCACUAAGCCAGUGGUGAACUCCACAUACGCAUCCUUUGCUGAAGGCAAUGGUUAACGGAGCGAAAGCGACGUUCAACCUCAAAAGAAGCAGAGGGGGCUUAGUGGUGGGGUGACUGCGUACCUUUUGUAUAAUGGGUCAGCGACUUAUAUUCUGUAGCAAGGUUAACCGAAUAGGGGAGCCGUAGGGAAACCGAGUCUUAAUUGGGCGUUAAGUUGCAGGGUAUAGACCCGAAACCCGGUGAUCUAGCCAUGGGCAGGUUGAAGGUUGGGUAACACUAACUGGAGGACCGAACCGACUAAUGUUGAAAAAUUAGCGGAUGACCUGUGGCUGGGGGUGAAAGGCCAAUCAAACCGGGAGAUAGCUGGUUCUCCCCGAAAGCUAUUUAGGUAGCGCCUCGUGAAUUCAUCUCCGGGGGUAGAGCACUGUUUCGGCUAGGGGGCCAUCCCGGCUUACCAACCCGAUGCAAACUGCGAAUACCGGAGAAUGUUAUCACGGGAGACACACGGCGGGUGCUAACGUCCGUCGUGAAGAGGGAAACAACCCAGACCGCCAGCUAAGGUCCCAAAGUCAUGGUUAAGUGGGAAACGAUGUGGGAAGGCCCAGACAGCCAGGAUGUUGGCUUAGAAGCAGCCAUCAUUUAAAGAAAGCGUAAUAGCUCACUGGUCGAGUCGGCCUGCGCGGAAGAUGUAACGGGGCUAAACCAUGCACCGAAGCUGCGGCAGCGACGCUUAUGCGUUGUUGGGUAGGGGAGCGUUCUGUAAGCCUGUGAAGGUGGCCUGUGAGGGUUGCUGGAGGUAUCAGAAGUGCGAAUGCUGACAUAAGUAACGAUAAAGCGGGUGAAAAGCCCGCUCGCCGGAAGACCAAGGGUUCCUGUCCAACGUUAAUCGGGGCAGGGUGAGUCGACCCCUAAGGCGAGGCCGAAAGGCGUAGUCGAUGGGAAACGGGUUAAUAUUCCCGUACUUGGUGUUACUGCGAAGGGGGGACGGAGAAGGCUAUGUUGGCCGGGCGACGGUUGUCCCGGUUUAAGCGUGUAGGUGUGUGUUCCAGGUAAAUCCGGUUCACUUUAACACUGAGGCGUGAUGACGAGGCACUACGGUGCUGAAGCAACAAAUGCCCUGCUUCCAGGAAAAGCCUCUAAGCAUCAGGUAACAUCAAAUCGUACCCCAAACCGACACAGGUGGUCAGGUAGAGAAUACCAAGGCGCUUGAGAGAACUCGGGUGAAGGAACUAGGCAAAAUGGUGCCGUAACUUCGGGAGAAGGCACGCUGACACGUAGGUGAAGUGAUUUACUCACGGAGCUGAAGUCAGUCGAAGAUACCAGCUGGCUGCAACUGUUUAUUAAAAACACAGCACUGUGCAAACACGAAAGUGGACGUAUACGGUGUGACGCCUGCCCGGUGCCGGAAGGUUAAUUGAUGGGGUCAGCGCAAGCGAAGCUCCUGAUCGAAGCCCCGGUAAACGGCGGCCGUAACUAUAACGGUCCUAAGGUAGCGAAAUUCCUUGUCGGGUAAGUUCCGACCUGCACGAAUGGCGUAAUGAUGGCCAGGCUGUCUCCACCCGAGACUCAGUGAAAUUGAACUCGCUGUGAAGAUGCAGUGUACCCGCGGCAAGACGGAAAGACCCCGUGAACCUUUACUAUAGCUUGACACUGAACAUUGAGCCUUGAUGUGUAGGAUAGGUGGGAGGCUUUGAAGCGUGGACGCCAGUCUGCGUGGAGCCGACCUUGAAAUACCACCCUUUAAUGUUUGAUGUUCUAACGUGGACCCGUGAUCCGGGUUGCGGACAGUGUCUGGUGGGUAGUUUGACUGGGGCGGUCUCCUCCUAAAGAGUAACGGAGGAGCACGAAGGUUGGCUAAUCCUGGUCGGACAUCAGGAGGUUAGUGCAAUGGCAUAAGCCAGCUUGACUGCGAGCGUGACGGCGCGAGCAGGUGCGAAAGCAGGUCAUAGUGAUCCGGUGGUUCUGAAUGGAAGGGCCAUCGCUCAACGGAUAAAAGGUACUCCGGGGAUAACAGGCUGAUACCGCCCAAGAGUUCAUAUCGACGGCGGUGUUUGGCACCUCGAUGUCGGCUCAUCACAUCCUGGGGCUGAAGUAGGUCCCAAGGGUAUGGCUGUUCGCCAUUUAAAGUGGUACGCGAGCUGGGUUUAGAACGUCGUGAGACAGUUCGGUCCCUAUCUGCCGUGGGCGCUGGAGAACUGAGGGGGGCUGCUCCUAGUACGAGAGGACCGGAGUGGACGCAUCACUGGUGUUCGGGUUGUCAUGCCAAUGGCACUGCCCGGUAGCUAAAUGCGGAAGAGAUAAGUGCUGAAAGCAUCUAAGCACGAAACUUGCCCCGAGAUGAGUUCUCCCUGAGACUUAGAGUCUCCUGAAGGAACGUUGAAGACGAC
rnacentral:rRNA from 1 species